rnacentral:rRNA from 1 species
GAUGAACGCUAGCGGUAGGCCUAACACAUGCAAGUCGAACGGCAGCACAGUAAGAGCUUGCUCUUAUGGGUGGCGAGUGGCGGACGGGUGAGGAAUACAUCGGAAUCUACUUUUUCGUGGGGGAUAACGUAGAGAAACUUACGCUAAUACCGCAUACGACCUACGGGUGAAAGCAGGGGAUCUUCGGACCUUGCGCGAUU